CUCUCAUCUUCUCCUUCCUCCACGUAGCAAUAAUAAUAAACUCAGAAUAUUCUCUAAUGAUUUCACCCAAAUCGAAUCUGCCUUCUCCCUCACGCGCUUUGGUUUUCUUGAACAAAUCUCGGAUAAAUGGGAGCGGUUGGAUGUGAGUUAAAGCCCAUCCACGCCUUCCAUUUUUUCGAUUUUUUGUUUUUAUGAAAUUUUUGGCAGUUUCCAAUUUUUCGAAAUUAUUGUGGGAGAUUUCUUGGAGGAGAAGAAUAGAACCUUCAAGAGUUCAUAUAAAUACUCCCAUUUGGAGGAUUUUCGGCCAAGGGAAAAAGAGGAGGAAAAUUAGGAGGUCUUUAGAGGAUUUUUAGUUUUAGACAGAAAGAAUAGAGAAAAAAAGAGUUUAGGAAAAUUGGAGUUUCCCGAAAAGAAUUCUACUUCUCAUUCUUCAUUUUUUAUUCUUCUUGAUUUUCAGUUUCGUUCCUCCAUUCUAGAAUCCAGAAAAAAAAAUCAUUAAAAAAAUGUUUUCUGUUUUGGUUUAAUUAGGAGUUCAGUUUUCGAAAAAAUAAAAUAAAAAUUAGUUUCUCCUUUUAAUUUUGGUGUCAAAGAUGGAGUUGGAUCGAAAACAUAUUUGAGUUGAAGUUCCUUCUCCGUUUGAGUUCCUCGCUAUGACAGAUUGCCAUUCGAGUUUUUGUUGAGUUGAAGCUCAUUUUUCCAGUCGAGUUCGCCAUUCAAGGUUGAGUCCGUGAUUCCUAUUCAGCCUAGUCGUUCUGUUCGCACAAUACCGAGUUGUCAUUGGACUUCUGUCAUUGUAUAUUCGCGCCAGAGUUUAAUCGAAGGCUCUCAUUCAGGUAUGGACCCGCUGAUUCUUCAAAGUGCUGAUGGUAGUAAAGAUUCCUAGGAAGUUGAUCAAGUGUUGGAAAAUAUUUUCAUUGUUAGAGCAGUAUGAGUUAAUGCAGAAAUUGGGCAUCCUCACUUCCCGUCUUGAUAUCACACCUCGCCCAGAUUUAGUGGAGGCGAUUCUGACCUAUUGGGAUCCGCAAAAUUUGAUUUUCAGAUUUGGAGAGUGUGAGAUGACUCUUACCUUGGCAUAAAUGUCUGUUCUCACUCGUUUAAGCUAAAUAGGCAAGGACAUGAUACUUCCCCAAGACCACUCUAGGACAAGAUUCCUCAGCGACCUGAGCCCGAAAGACAACAAUCAUUUAAGAUGCCUCGAGCAGUCCUAGAUAUCCUUGGAUUAUUUGUUUGCUAGAUUUGGACCACAGGAUAGUUUUGACGUCUUUUGGGAUGAGUUCUGCACAACCAAGGCAAAGUGGAAAAAACGUCGCCUCGAAGCUUUCAGCCUUGCUUUGUUGGGAUUAUUGGUUUUUCCAUUAGAUGUGAGGCACAUUAGCACUCGUCUACAGUAAGUGGUAAUGGCACUAUUUCACGAGAAUCAACGUAAAACCGUUACCGUUGUAUCGAUGAUCUUGGCAGAGUUGUAUCGAGCCCUGAGUGAGGUUAGGGGAGGUGUCAGGUAUUUUGAGGGAAGUAACCUUUUGCUACAAUUGUGGAUGAUGGAGCAUUUACACACCGCUUCCUUACUUUGUCCCAUCAAGCGUGACUUGAGGGAUCGGGUAGUAUGCAUUGAACGUAGGAUGAAAUCUCCUAAGUUUACAUACCAAGUAGGCGUCACAGCUUGGAUAGAGUUCCUUGGUUUGAGGAUAAAAGGGAAUGUUUUGUGGGCUUACCUUUGGCUACCUUUAGAUGAGAUCUUGGUAGGAUGCCGCAUGCAGCCUUUCCUGAUGCUGAUAGGACUUAAGUCUGUCAGGCCGUACACUCCCAUUAGGGUAAUGCGACAGUUGGGCAGGAGAUAAGAGGAGCCUCCAACUUUGAAUCUUUGGAGGCACAUCAUGAAUUUUAGCAAAAAGGCGGAUGGCGAAAUCAAGUACGUGCAAUACUGGAACAAUGCAAAGAGGAUGAACAAAAAUACAUUAGUAGAGGACAUUGGCAGGACCUAGUGUACUCGGGAGUACCUGAUCUAGUUACAGUCCAUCCCACCAGGGGUCAGCACCCCAUUGCCAGCACAACUUAGGGGUCGGGCAGUUCAGACAGAUGAUUUCGAGAAGGUAUUAGACCAAGAUCCUUAGGAUAAGCUUGAGUUGAUAAAGUCUUAGUUAGCGGGAUUGGUAGCAAACGUGGAGCAACAUAGCCAGUAUUUGUUUAGGGCCGACCUUCAGGAUGCGGGGGCACACGCCAGGGUCUUUAUACCCAGCAUCAGUGUUUCUUUACGAGGUAUGUUACAGAGUUUGAGCAUGACGGACAACCCAAGACCAUCCCAGCCGGGGGCAUCACAUCCAGGAGUUGAUUGAGGAGGAUUUCUAUUAUUAUUCACAUGUUUUGAGUCUGUUUAUGUCGUCUUUUAUUUUCUAGCCUUGUCUAGUAGUACUGAAGGUCGUGUCAGAGUCUGUCGUAAUGUAGUUGAGUCAGUCAAUCUUUCAUUCUCGUACUUCCCAUUUUGUAAACCGAAAUUUUUUAAAUAAAAAACAAGAUUUUUAUUUUAUUUUC